rnacentral:misc_RNA from 1 species
GAAAAUCAUGCUUUAAUAUAUAAGAUUUUCCACUAACAUAGAUUCCUUUACUCAGAUACAAAUUAUAGCGCUAUGCGAUCACAUUCGUCGAAAGGUAUAAAGGUAUCGAUCUUAAUAUGAUUUUUAUACAGGAAUUGCAUAGGUUGGCACAAGCAAUGUUUUUAAAGGCCAAGGGAUUGUUAUAUUUUACUUGAAGCAACAGGAGUCUCUUAAGGCGGGAUUCCACCAAGGCAACAUUCUGGCAACAUGUGGCAUGCUACAUUGUCGCAUGGGCUAAGUGUGUUUCCACCAGUUCAACAGAAGGCAACAUGUAGCAUGCGAUUGUGUGGCAUGAGACAGGUGGCAACAUGUUGCCGUGUUGCCUGACGCAUGCGACAAGAUUUAGCCUGUCGUCUAGUGUUGAACGCCUUCCCACCAGUCGCGGGAAGGAUUCCGUAUUGAAAGGCAACACGAUGAAUUGGUCACAAGAAAAAAAUAUAGAAUUCAUAGAAGAGUAUAGAAAACUUUCAGUUCUGUGGGAUGUACGCUUGCAAGAGUACAAGAAUAAUCAGGCAAAAUUAGAUGCACUGCGGGGAUUAGCUGAGAAAUACAAUUGUGACGUGGAGAUGCUGAAGAAAAAGAUCAAGAAUUUGCGUACAGCUUUUCGCCGGGAACAUAAACGCCUAACCCAAAAAAAAUCUGGAUCUUCUCCCAUCAAGACAGGCAAGUGGUUUGCUUAUGAACUGCUUUUGUUCCUCCUGGACGUGGACACCCCAAGGCCUGGCUACUCAUCUCAAGCUGAACCUCAGACUGAGCAAUCACCAUGCAUUGAGGAUGAACCUGGAGGGGAUGAUCCUACUGAAACACUGGGAACGUCAUCGACUCUGAAUGCAGAAGCUCCUGAAGCUUCACAGGAAGCUGAGAAAGGCGACAGUAAUGACGAUGGCAAAGAGGCAAGCAACAAAAGAAGAGGACAGAGCUGGAAAAGAAAAACUGUUGAUGAUGAACGAGCUGAAGAGGCAUACCAGAUUUUGAAAGAUAGUGUGAAAAGGGAUGACUGUUCUAUUUAUGCUGAACAUGUUGCAUGUGAAAUUCGGAAACUUGAUCCAAAGGCCCAGGCAAUUGUGAAACACUUAAUUAACAACAUCUUAUUCGAAGCUGCUAUGGGGAAAUACGACAGUGGUGAUCGCUCUCAUCAAUUUGGUUUGCCUCCAGCGCAUCUUUUUCAUACCAGUGCCUCUUCAUCCCAUCAUAACCCCAUUGCCUCUGAUUCUUCUGCCUCUACUCCCCGCCACUCUUUCUACAGUGACUCCUCUACCCCUGACUAUGACCAUGGGGCAUCAACAUCAAUCUCGAAAUCGCCAUCAAUAUUUGCUCAACUAGGAAAUCAGUCACACCAAGAAUCUGUUGUAACACCAGCUUCACAAGGAUUUGUUGCUCAGUUAGAUAAUGAAUAUCAUCCACAUUUUGUUCAGACAGAUAAAGAACCUGAGCAACACCAUAAUGAAACAGACGUGGAUGGGUCCUUGAAAUCACAACAGCCACCUGGAAUUAAAGGUAAACCAUCCACAGAGAAAUAUAGCAUUGAAGAAUUCCAAAGACAAUUAAAACGUUUAAAGAAAGAGAAGAAUAUUCUCCUAAAAAAAAAUAGACUAUGGGCCAAAGAAAUCAGAGAGGCAAGGAAACAGAUGUCUGAUCUCCGUUAUCACAAUGAAUUGAUGGCAGAGGAGCGUGAUAAGGCUCGUAAAGAAAGGGAUGCUCUUCAGUUGGAGAAAAGACAUCUGUUGAAGGCACUGGAUGAGGAGAGAAAAGAGAAGGAGGCUCUGGUUGCAAGGAAGAAGCAGAAAGGAGCAGAACUUCAGGAGACAGUUACAGAAAGCAGUGGAAUACCGGAUUGUCCAUUGAUGGAAACACCAACAGUGAAUGUAAUUAAUGUUAAAAACGAGGAUGACAUGUCGCACACAGAGGACCAUAAAGUGGAAAUGAAAGAUGUAGAAAGUGAGGACACAGACAUUGAACCAAAGAUGGAAGAGGAGAUCACAAUCAAGGAAGAGGAAAUGGAGUGCAAUGAUCCAUUAUUGACUUUCCCAUGCAAGUUUUGUGAGACCGUGUAUGCCACCAAAUGUGACCUGGAAAAUCACAUAAAAGAGGAGCAUGAGAGAGGAGACCUACUGAGCUGCUGCAGUUGUGAGAAAAUGUUUCAUAAAGAUAUUGAACUUAAGCUCCAUGAAGUAGUACAGCAUCAGGCAAAGUUAUGUAAGAAAGAGAGUGUGUGCACAGAGAAAGCAGGUUACCGGUAUGCUGGUUUCCAGCAUAGGUCGGCACCGGAAACUAGCGCUAGAAGUUGUUCACAAAGGAUACGGGUAACCAUUUCCGACCUGCUUGGUGAGAGACAGUAGGCAGUAUCUGUCAUCAGUAGCAAUCUGCAAGGUAUACAAGAUGUCGAGCUCACCGCCUGAUGAUGACUUCAUACUGCUCGAUAGUGUUCCUACAAAAGCCAAGAGAAAAAGAAGAGCAGUUCAUGAAAUAAGCCACAAGAGAGAAGAGUUUGGAUAAUAUCAUCUUUACAGUGAUCUGAAAAGGGACAAAGCAAGAUUUUUUUAAUUCGAAAGGAUGACACAAGAAAGUUGAACAUCGUCUUGUGAAGACAUGGUGUACCUGGCCUGAACAACCCAUUCAACCUGGAGAAAGACUUGUCAUUACUCUCAGAUGCACACUACAUUGCUGUUGAUGUAGGAGGCUUUGGAAAGCAAAGUGAUGGUGGUACGCUCCAGGCCUCGGAGCUGUACACUGUCUUGACAAAGUGAAAACUAAAAAUAUCUGAAUCUUCUUACCUACCAAAUACAGAUGUCAAAACCUUGUACGUGUUUGUGGGGAUGAAGCCUAUCCACUCUUGCCUUUUCUACUAAAACCGUAUGGUGGACGUUAUUUGACUAUUGAAGAUGCCACCUUCAACCAACAUUUAUCUAGGUGUAGAAAGUCUGAUGAGUGUGCUUUUGGCAUUUUAUACAGCAAAUAGCAUUUACUGUCAAUGUGUCAAAACCAAAGUUGAUUUGAUCAUAAUGUAAAAUGGAUGUGUGUUCUGCAUAACACAAUCAUAGAUGAAGAGGGUGUUGAACAUGACCUAACUGAGAUUGCUGUCUCAACUCUUCAGCAAAAUGAUCAUAGGUAUUGUCGGGGAAGACCGUCAAAUGAGGAUGUGAAUGUUAGGGAAAUCUUUAAAUUUUAUUGAAGUAUCCUUUAUUAUACAAGGACCAAAAACAAUAAACCAUGUUUAAGA